ACUCCUACGGGAGGCAGCAGUGGGGAAUAUUGGACAAUGGGCGCAAGCCUGAUCCAGCCAUACCGCGUGGGUGAAGAAGGCCUUCGGGUUGUAAAGCCCUUUUGUUGGGAAAGAAAUCCAGCUGGCUAAUACCCGGUUGGGAUGACGGUACCCAAAGAAUAAGCACCGGCUAACUUCGUGCCAGCAGCCGCGGUAAUACGAAGGGUGCAAGCGUUACUCGGAAUUACUGGGCGUAAAGCGUGCGUAGGUGGUCGUUUAAGUCCGUUGUGAAAGCCCUGGGCUCAACCUGGGAACUGCAGUGGAUACUGGACGACUAGAGUGUGGUAGAGGGUAGCGGAAUUCCUGGUGUAGCAGUGAAAUGCGUAGAGAUCAGGAGGAACAUCCAUGGCGAAGGCAGCUACCUGGACCAACACUGACACUGAGGCACGAAAGCGUGGGGAGCAAACAGGAUUAGAUACCCUGGUAGUCCACGCCCUAAACGAUGCGAACUGGAUGUUGGGUGCAAUCUGGCACGCAGUAUCGAAGCUAACGCGUUAAGUUCGCCGCCUGGGGAGUACGGUCGCAAGACUGAAUCUCAAAGGAACUGACGGGGGCCCCCACAAGCGGUGGAGCAUGUGG
rnacentral:rRNA from 1 species